AACGAACGCUGGCGGCAUGCCUAACACAUGCAAGUCGAACGAGACCUUCGGGUCUAGUGGCGCACGGGUGCGUAACGCGUGGGAACCUGCCCUUAGGUUCGGAAUAACUCCCCGAAAGGGGUGCUAAUACCGGAUAAUGUCUUCGGACCAAAGAUUUAUCGCGUUUGGAUGGGCCCGCGUUGGAUUAGCUAGUUGGUAGGGUAAAAGCCUACCAAGGCGACGAUCCAUAGCUGGUCUGAGAGGAUGAUCAGCCACACUGGGACUGAGACACGGCCCAGACUCCUACGGGAGGCAGCAGUGGGGAAUAUUAGACGAUGGGCGAAAGCCUGAUCCAGCAAUGCCGCGUGAGUGAUGAAGGCCUUAGGGUUGUAAAGCUCUUUUACCCGGGAUGAUAAUGACAGUACCGGGAGAAUAAGCUCCGGCUAACUCCGUG
rnacentral:rRNA from 1 species